rnacentral:lncRNA from 1 species
CAUGAAUCCGGUGAUAUUAUCUGAAAAAUAAAUAGAAAAAAAAAGAAGGGAAUGAAGCCUGAAUGGUCCGAAAUAUAUAGGUAUCUGCAUUGACAUGCAUAAUGCAUCAAGUGUCUCGUUAGGCUUUUUAUCUCUGAGGGAUAUUUGUUUCCCCCUCCCCCAUAUGGUUUAGAAAGACAUGAGAGAAUCGCUCUCUAUGGAUGAUGGCAUACCCUCUGAUGAGAGCCGG